rnacentral:rRNA from 1 species
AGGACGAACGCUGGCGGCGUGCUUAACACAUGCAAGUCGAGCGAGGCCCUUCCUUCGGGAAGGUGCCCUAGCGGCGAACGGGUGAGUAACACGUGGGCAACCUGCCCCUAGCACUGGGAUAACUCCGGGAAACCGGGGCUAAUACCGGAUAUUACCUUCUUGGGCAUCCUCGAAGGUGUAAAGGAUUCUGGCUAGGGAUGGGCCCGCGGCCUAUCAGCUUGUUGGUGGGGUAACAGCCUACCAAGGCGACGACGGGUAGCCGGCCUGAGAGGGUGACCGGCCACACUGGGACUGAGACACGGCCCAGACUCCUACGGGAGGCAGCAGUGGGAAUCUUGCACAAUGGGCGAAAGCCUGAUGCAGCGACGCCGCGUGAGGGAUGACUGCCUUCGGGUUGUAAACCACUGUCGCGAGGGACGAAAAAUGACGGUACCUCGAAAGGAAGCACCGGCUAACUCUGCGCCAGCAGCCGC